rnacentral:piRNA from 1 species
UGCACAACAUGAGGGCAAUUGAAAGC